AGUACUGUCAGCCAAAUUGCUCAGCAGGUAGAAAGCCAAGACCUUGGGAAUAUGUUCUCAGGUUUGGGAAGUGGCCAAGGCAGUGGCAUUGAUCUUUCUAGGGUGGUCCAACAGAUGAUGCCAGUAGUUUCCCAGGUUCUCAGUCGUGGGUCAGCUGCUCAGCCAUUCUCUCCUGUAGAACCUGAAGCUCAGCAGCAGUAUAAUGAGAGGAGAUCAAGUGGAAAUGAAAAACCCAAUGAUCAAAAUGUUCAGAUCGACCUCCAGGAUGUGGCCCAGAGAAUUGGACAUUUCAAUGCACCUGGAGAUAUUUUCCGAGCUGUAGCUGAAAAUGCAGGGAGGUCGAAUGGGAAUGAAAGUGGAUCCCUAGAUAUUGUGCAGGAGUUGAGCAACAAUGCGGAUCUAGUCCAUGAUUACAUAGAGAUGCUACAGCGUGAUAUACAUCAGCUGCUUCAGAGUGACACUGGGGAGGAUGAGUCUUGAUUUCUCGGAGAGGCGGUUUCUUAUGAUUUCAAGCGUCCAGAAAUGGUUCGCCAGAGACUAUUAUCUCAGCCAGGCUUACCUUGAAAAUGAUUUCAGCUUGUACAAAUCGGUAUGGAGCUCUACGCUCCAUGUUAUAAGCCAACAUCGAUAUGAUUUUUCGGUUUAUUGUGAAUUAGUAUUUAUGAUAUAAAUUCAAUACUUUAAGUUUCCCGUUUCAAGGGAUUGGGGGCAAGUUCCCAGAAAGUUAACAAAUUCAACUUAUUUGGUUGAUGUUUUAUUGGGAAGUGACCUUCCGAAAAGUAAUUUUACCUCCAUGAAGAUACGUCGCUUCCUAAAAAGUGUAAAGAAAGAGCUUGACUCAAAUGAGAUCUUAGUAUUUCGUUUUGUUUCUUUUUAGUCAUCCAGGGGAUAAAUCCUAGGCGGCUUUGUACUAAUAGCAAUCCAAUUGAAUGAUGUAGUUAUCUGGCUUCGAACUAAUAGCAAUUAUCUUGCUUGGGUUGGUAAAAUUACU
rnacentral:misc_RNA from 1 species